rnacentral:rRNA from 1 species
UGGGGAAUAUUGCACAAUGGGCGAAAGCCUGAUGCAGCGACGCCGCGUGAGGGAUGACGGCCUUCGGGUUGUAAACCUCUUUCAGCAGGGAAGAAGCGAAAGUGACGGUACCUGCAGAAGAAGCGCCGGCUAACUACGUGCCAGCAGCCGCGGUAAUACGUAGGGCGCAAGCGUUGUCCGGAAUUAUUGGGCGUAAAGAGCUCGUAGGCGGUUAGUCGCGUCUGCUGUGAAAACUCGAGGCUCAACCUCGGGCUUGCAGUGGGUACGGGCUGACUAGAGUGCGGUAGGGGUGACUGGAAUUCCUGGUGUAGCGGUGGAAUGCGCAGAUAUCAGGAGGAACACCGAUGGCGAAGGCAGGUCACUGGGCCGCAACUGACGCUGAGGAGCGAAAGCAUGGGGAGCGAACAGGAUUAGAUAGCCCUGGUAGUCCAUGCCGUAAACGUUGGGCACUAGGUGUGGGUCCAUUCCACGGAUUCCGUGCCACAGCAAAGCGCAUUAAGUGCCCCGCCUGGGGAGUACGGCCGCAAGGCUAAAACUCAAAUGAAUUGAC